GAAUGCAGUCGACGGGCCUGAUUUCGGUCAGGCUAGUGGCGGACGGGUGAGUAACACGUGGGUGAUCUACCCCAAAGUCUGGGACAACUAGGGGAAACCUUAGCUAAUCCCGGAUGGUGAGGCUUCUCCUGUGAAGUCUCUAAAGAUUUAUCGCUUUGGGAUGAGCCCGCGGCGCAUCAGCUAGUUGGUGGGGUAAUGGCCUACCAAGGCGACGACGCGUAGCUGGUCUGAGAGGACGACCAGCCACAGGAGCACUGAGACACGGGCUCCACUCCUACGGGAGGCAGCAGUUAGGAAUCUUCGUCAAUGGGCGAAAGCCUGAACGAGCGACGCCGCUUGAGGGACGAAGCCCUUCGGGGUGUAAACCUCUGAACAGGGGACGAUGAUGACGGUACCCUGCUAAUAGCACCGGCUAACUCCGUGCCAGCAGCCGCGGUAAUACGGAGGGUGCGAGCGUUACCCGGAUUUACUGGGCGUAAAGGGCGUGUAGGCGGUUUUCUAAGUCCGGGGCUAAAGACCAGGGCUCAACCCUGGGUUUGCCUUGGAUACUGGAAAGCUCGACGGGCUGGAGGGGGCAGCGGGAAUUUCCGGAGUAGCGGUGAAAUGCGCAGAUACCGGAAGGAACGCCAAUAGCGAAGGCAGCUGCCUGGACAGUACGUGACGCUGAGGCGCGAAAGCGUGGGGAGCAAACCGGAUUAGAUACCCGGGUAGUCCACGCCCUAAACGAUGAGUGCUGGGUGUCCGGCGUUUGCCGGGUGCCGAAAGCUAACGCGUUAAGCACUCCGCCUGGGGAAGUACGGUCGCAAGACUGAAACUCAAGGGAAUUGACGGGGGGCCCGCACAAGCGGUGGAGGCAUGUGGUUUAAUUCGNAGGAACGCGAAGAAACCUUACCAGGCCUUGACAUCCUAGGAACCCUGAUGAAAGUCGGGGGUGCCCGCCAGGGAACCUAGANACAGGGGCUGCAUGGCUUGUCGUCAGCUCGUGUCGUGAGAAUGUUGGGUUUAAUCCCGCAACCAGCGCACCCNUUGGUCCUUAGUUUGCUA
rnacentral:rRNA from 1 species